AGCAUAUCAAUAAGCGGAGGAAAAGAAACUAACAAGGAUUCCCCUAGUAACUGCGAGUGAAGCGGGAAAAGCUCAAAUUUGAAAUCUGGCGGUCCUUGGCCGUCCGAGUUGUAAUCUAGAGAAGUGUUACCCGCGCUGGACCGUGUACAAGUCUCCUGGAANGGAGCGUCAUAGAGGGUGAGAAUCCCGUCUCUGACACGGACUACCAGGGCUUUGUGGUAUGCUCUCAAAGAGUCGAGGUGUUUGGGAAUGCAGCUCAAAAUGGGUGGUAAAUUCCAUCUAAAGCUAAAUAUUGGCGAGAGACCGAUAGCGAACAAGUACCGUGAGGGAAAGAUGAAAAGAACUUUGGAAAGAGAGUUAAACAGUACGUGAAAUUGCUGAAAGGGAGACGCUUGAAGUCAGUCGCGUCGGCCGGGGAUCAGCCUCGCAAUUGCGUGGUGUACUUCCCGGUUGACGGGUCAGCAUCAAUUUUGACCGCUGGAGAAAGGCUUGGGGAAUGUGGCAGCUCCGGCUGUGUUAUAGCCCCUGGUCACAUACAGCGGUUGGGAUUGAGGAACUCAGCACGCCGCAAGGCCGGGUUUCGACCACGUUCGUGCUUAGGAUGC
rnacentral:rRNA from 1 species